AUACGUAUGUCGCAAGCGUUAUCCGGAUUUAUUGGGCGUAAAGGGCGCGUAGGCGGCGCUUCAAGUCGUCUGUCAAAUGGAAGGGCUUAACCCUUUUUCGCAGACGAAACUGGAGAGCUUGAGAAGCAGAGAGGCAAACAGAAUUCCUGGUGUAGCGGUGAAAUGCGUAGAUAUCAGGAAGAAUACCAGUGGCGAAGGCGGUUUGCUGGCUGCAUACUGACGCUGAAGCGCGAAAGCCAGGGGAGCGAACGGGAUUAGAUACCCCGGUAGUCCUGGCAGUAAACGAUGUAUGCUGGGUGUGAGACUAGCGAUAGUUUCGUGCCGAAGUUAACGCGAUAAGCAUACCGCCUGGGGAGUACGGUCGCAAGAUUGAAACUCAAAGGAAUUGGCGGGG
rnacentral:rRNA from 1 species